CACCUCUUCUCAAAAGAUAAAUUCAAGGGGUUCCCACUGUGGCGCAACAGGAUAGGUGGUGUCUUGGGAGCCUUGGGACGCAGGUUCGAUCCCCAGCCUGACACAGUGGGUUAAGGUUCCUGCAUUGCUGCAGCUACAUCUUAGGUCAGAACUGUGGCUUGAAUCUGAUCGCUGGCCGGGGAACUCCAUAUGCCACAAGGUGGCCAAAGAAAGAAAGAAAGGAAGGAAGAAAGAAAGAAGGAAAAAUUCAAGAUCUAAUCCCUAGUACCUAUGAGUGUGACCUUUUUGGAAACAGAGUCUUUGAAGAUAUCAUGAUGAGAUCAUACUGAAUUGGGUGGCGCUUAGUCUGAUAUAAAUGCUGUCCUUUAAAGAAGAGGAGAAAAGAAACAGACACACAAGUGGAAGUGGCCAUGUGGAGACAAAGGCAGAAAUUAGAGUUAUGCUGCCUCAAACCAAGAACACCUGGAGGUACCUGGAAGCUAGAAGAAACGUAGAGGGGUCUUCCUUAGAGCCUUUGGAGGAAGCAUGGCCCUGCCCACACCUUGAUUUUGAACUUCUAACCUCUAGAUCUGUGGGAGAAUAGAUUUCUGUUACUUAAACCACCCAGCUUGUGGUACUUUUUCCACAGUGGCCCCAGGACACUAAUACGGUGGGGGGAGGGGUUCUCACAGGGUCAAGUAGUGGCAGAGAAGAAAUAGACAUGGUCCAGUGGGAACUGAGGGGAUUCUCUUGCUUUUUUUCCCCUCAAAAUACAGACCCAGGAACAGCAGCAUCCCUGAAAGUGUGUUUGAAAUGCACAAUCUCAGGCCCCACCCUCAACCUGAGACCUAAUUCCCUUGAGGUGAUGGCAGCCCAAACUAUGCAACCUGGGGAAUAACAGAAAGAGCCACCAACAUAUGUAAGCCCUUUUCAGGCCUUACAUAUGUAAGCCCUUUUUCUGAGCUAAAAGCUAUCUUCUGUGUUAACCCGCUUAAUUUCCACGCCAACCUAUAAGGUAUGAAUUAUUAUUAUUCCCGUUUCACAGACAGAGAAAUGAGUCACAGAAAGGUUCUGUAACUCUCCGAAGUCAUGUCCAUAGACAUGCUGAAUCCAGGAAAUGGGUUUCAUUUAUCUUUAUUUCAAAGGGAAGAUGUGUAAGAAAGAAGUUGUGCUGACACUUAAAGAGUAGGAUGCUGAAGGAUCAGGCCUCGCUCUCAUCUAGAUCUGGAACAAAAUUAGGAAUAGCU
rnacentral:lncRNA from 1 species